AGGUGAUAUCUCCUUACCGUUAACAAUGGAGGUACUCGGUCAUGCUGUGGGUUGGAAGAAACCUUAGACGCCGGUCGUCGAGAGUAUGAUGUGAGGAGGGGUUAAAUGCCCC
rfam:Bacillus sp. B-jedd genome assembly, contig: CONTIG000001